UCCAGGAUUGUCAAACAAGAACGUUGGGAGCGGAUUCUGAGACGAUGGUACGAAGGGGUAUCGCGUACCCUACAACCUCUUCGAUAAGUUUUUAGUCCAUGAACAUCGGCUCCAAAGAAGCGAUGCCGAGGACCUCGAAGAAAAAUGUGGCUCAUUAAGGAACCAGGGUGUUAAACGAUGGUCGACAAGGGAAGAGCAAAGAACACCUUCGGCUUCCUUAUGGUGGUCCCGUGUCCCGACAAUGUCCCGACCAGGUCCUGAUAACAUGCAGACAACCCCAUUCUGUUCCUGUCGCACGUUGAACUUAUGCCAAUAGACCGAUCGAAGCUCCGGGAAGAGCGCUCUAUUUCUACAUCGGCAGCAACAACUCCCUUCGUCGGUGUAGCUCGGGA